rnacentral:rRNA from 1 species
UCUUUCCUCCCGAGUGCUUGCACUCAAUUGGAAAGAGGAGUGGCGGACGGGUGAGUAACACGUGGGUAACCUACCCAUCAGAGGGGGAUAACACUUGGAAACAGGUGCUAAUACCGCAUAACAGUUUAUGCCGCAUGGCAUAAGAGUGAAAGGCGCUUUCGGGUGUCGCUGAUGGAUGGACCCGCGGUGCAUUAGCUAGUUGGUGAGGUAACGGCUCACCAAGGCCACGAUGCAUAGCCGACCUGAGAGGGUGAUCGGCCACACUGGGACUGAGACACGGCCCAGACUCCUACGGGAGGCAGCAGUAGGGAAUCUUCGGCAAUGGACGAAAGUCUGACCGAGCAACGCCGCGUGAGUGAAGAAGGUUUUCGGAUCGUAAAACUCUGUUGUUAGAGAAGAACAAGGACGUUAGUAACUGAACGUCCCCUGACGGUAUCUAACCAGAAAGCCACGGCUAACUACGUGCCAGCAGCCGCGGUAAUACGUAGGUGGCAAGCGUUGUCCGGAUUUAUUGGGCGUAAAGCGAGCGCAGGCGGUUUCUUAAGUCUGAUGUGAAAGCCCCCGGCUCAACCGGGGAGGGUCAUUGGAAACUGGGAGACUUGAGUGCAGAAGAGGAGAGUGGAAUUCCAUGUGUAGCGGUGAAAUGCGUAGAUAUAUGGAGGAACACCAGUGGCGAGGCGGCUCUCUGGUCUGUAACUGACGCUGAGGCUCGAAAGCGUGGGGAGCAAACAGGAUUAGAUACCCUGGUAGUCCACGCCGUAAACGAUGAGUGCUAAGUGUUGGAGGGUUUCCGCCCUUCAGUGCUGCAGCAAACGCAUUAAGCACUCCGCCUGGGG